GGGUUGAAGCCACCACCUCCCGUUCUCCUCACAGUGUGGAAAAUACCCAAACGCGCUUAAGGGAAAAAAAAAAAAACAACCAACAAACCACCAGAACACCCGAGGAUUGAUUUAUCUUCAGAGCUGGAAUAGCGCGGGGAAGAAGCCAUCGCCGCUCGUUUUGCUCCCCACGACAACCUGCCCGCCAUUCCGUUAAUUAAAAGCAUGUACUUGAUGUGCUCAGAGGUGGCAAUACCGUUAAAAAAACCCAAAAAAACCCAAACCAGUAACAUCCAAACGCUCGUUGUUGGAGGCUGCAGCCAAGGGAAAUAGAGGAUUGUUUGUCUGACCCCUCUCCGCAGCAGAUACCUCCUUUGUAAGUGUUGUAGUUGCGUAGGGAUGUCGGAGCCAGCCGGGCAGUGGGAUCUGGCCUGGGUUGUGUAAGCGUGUGUCGCACACGGGCCACAGAAACCCACAAUGUUUCUGUGGUUACCGCCGCCUGGAGAAGCACAAGCAGGUCCCAGGGCUUCCCCUUCCCACUGCUUGCUAGUUCACAAAAAGCAAAGGCUGGUGCUUCUGGAAAAAACUCUGCCUCGUGGCCUUUAAAAAAAAAAUAAAGAAAAACUGCUGCGGAUUAGUCAUCCUUAUUUUUAAAGGAAGCCGUGUUUGCCAGCCCUAUCUGUGUAAUGCGUGUGUGUGUGAGAUAUUCACCAUUAGCUGUAUUUGCGAGGGCUGGUAACGUGCUCUGGUCACUGUGCUUUGGAGCAGUGCCACCGAGGCUCCCUCGAGCUGCUGCUGGCAGGUGGAAAAAAACUGACAAUCCAGCUUUUUGUAACCUUUCCUUCCAUUUUUCUUUUUCAGUGUGUUGGCAGGUGUGGAAAUGUGGAAAUUCGUAGGAACGCUAAGCAAGGACGGAUGACCUGUCUUCUGGAGGCACUUCCAACUCCAGAGAAGAAACCCUGAUGAAAAAGAAAUUUAUAUUUCUUUUUCUUGCCUGUGGUAGCUUUUACUCUGAGCUGCACUGCCUCUUGCGAAGGGCUGACGCCGGAGGGAGCGUUGCGAUGGACCUAAAUUGUGUUGGUGAAGAUCAGAGUCCCCUUGAACUUGCUCCUGUGAGAUGCUGCUGGUUUAUUACUCGAUUCCUCAAAGCCCUGCUCGCUCACCGGGCAGAAGGAAAACACUUCCUUACUGGCUGCAGUUCCUUUUCUUGUGUGGCAAAAGGUAAUAAAAAGCACCUGGCGCUGGGCUCUCCUCGGUCACACGUGACUUCGAGGCGCGGAGCCCUCGAAGGCGCGCGAGGAGUGUUAGGUACCAGCUCCUUCUCGUUAGCCUCCCUUAAUGAGAAUAUUGGCAGGGGUGUUGGGUGGAUGCCUCUGGCUGACCAGCGGAGAGGCCCUGCCCUGCUAAACUGGAGCAACACCUUAUGA
rnacentral:lncRNA from 1 species